UUGAGCUAUACAACUCCAAAUUGGGCGAUUCAAAAGGCUAAGUUGUGAGAUUUUUCUAGGGCAACGCAUUGGUGAGCUUGGAAUCUGAUUUGGGGACCCGAUUUGAGGUAAAUUUUGGGUUUUAACUGCUGUCUAGCUCAUUUUCGAGCACAAGUUUUGGGUUUUUUUAGAAGGUGAUUUCUUGGCCAUUUUAGGUCCGAAUCAAGUGAUUCAAGAGCCUAUAUUGUGUGGUUUUUCGUGAGGAUCGUCGUGGUGUGGUUGGUUUUGGCUGUUGGAGCUUCAUUUUUGGUAAAAUCUUGUCCGAGCACCGGUAGUCAGCGUUGAUCGAGUUUGGAGAAUUUCUGGUCUGGAGACAGGGGUGAGCACACAACGUUUUGUACUAUUUCAGUCUCCAUCUGUUUAUAUAAAGAUUUGUCUUUUACUUUUCGAGACAGUCUAGUUUCGGUGGUCCACUGUUGGGACUUGUACUCGUUUUGUUGGUAGCUCUGUAUUAGUGACUUCCAGGUUCUGGGAGGGAUCCUUUAUUGUAUUUAUGUUUUGG